AUGGGAACCGGGACGUCACGCCGUGCUCCAAAAAGAAAGAGAAGGAGUUCAACUAUACAAGAAGAAGAAGAGUUUGUUGAGGAGGAGUCAGAAGAAGAUGAGGAAAUGGAAGCAGCGAUAGAUGUUGACGAUGACGAGGACAUAGAUGCGGAUGAAUCAGAGGAGGAGGACAAAGAGAAGGAUGACAAAGAAGAAGAUGCAGAGGAGGAGGAGGAGGAGAAAGAAGAGGAGGACAAAGAAGAAGAGGACAAAGGAGAGGAGGAGGACAAGGAAGAAGAUAGUGAGGCAGAGGAGGAGGAAGAAGAAGAUGAGGCCAAAGAGGGGGACGGAGACAAAGGUGCAUCAGUUGAUGGCAGUGAGGGGGAAGAAGACAAAGGUGCAGCAGUUGAUGGCAGUGAGGGGGAAGAAGAUGACGAGGAAGAAGACGAGGAUGGUGAUGGUGAUGAUCAAGGGGGAUCCAAUGGAGGCAGCGACAACAGCGAUGAUGAUGAUGACAACGCCCCUGGUUCUAGUGGUACAGGUGGCAACACAUCCAGGAGGACUAGCAGCUCUGCUACCCCUACCAGCAGCAGUAAUUCAUUGAGCAGUAGGAGCACACUACAGAUGUUGAUUGACAAAACUUGCUAG
rnacentral:rRNA from 1 species